AGAAUCAACGCUGGCGGCGUGCCUAACACAUGCAAGUCGAACGAGAAAGUGGGAGCAAUCCCACGAGUAAAGUGGCGCACGGGUGAGUAACACGUGACUAACCUACCCUUGAGUGGGGGGAUAACCUAGGGAAACCUGGGCUAAUACCGCAUAAUACCUACGGGUCAAAGGAGCAAUUCGCUUUAGGAGGGGGUCGCGGCAGAUUAGUUAGUUGGCGGGGUAAUGGCCCACCAAGACAGUGAUCUGUAUCCGGCCUGAGAGGGCGCACGGACACACUGGAACUGAAACACGGUCCAGACUCCUACGGGAGGCAGCAGUGGGGAAUUUGCGCAAUGGGGGAAACCCUGACGCAGCAACGCCGCGUGGAGGAUGAAGCCCCUUGGGGCGUAAACUCCUUUCGAUCGGGAAGAUAAUGACGGUACCGGAAGAAGAAGCCCCGGCUAACUUCGUGCCAGCAGCCGC
rnacentral:rRNA from 1 species